AUCAACGUCAACAAACCUCAAUGUUAUAUGUCCAUUUUCAAGACCGAUGUGUUAAAUAGCCAUUGUGUAAAAUUUGCUGAUCACUUAAAGACGUACCUCAGGCAGGAGCUAUAGAUAACCAGAAGAAACAAGUGCAGUUUAGUGAAAUUGUACCAUAGCGCGGCGUACAGUACUACAUGAUGCAGUGAAAAGGUUCCUUAACAAUGCAAGGGAGACAACCUUAUUUUGGAUUCUUUGACCACUGAGUGAGGCUGCCACAAGGGUGAAUUAUACUUGCAUAUACAUGUUGGGUAAAGCACAAAGUGGAGACAAUCUGAUGACCAGUGAACACUUACAGUCUUGGAUGAAAAUAGGAAAAGAAUGUCAUUCAAAAGGCAGCCUUUGUUGAAAUAAUUAUUAUGUUGGCACUGUAAGUACAUGCUGGGUUUCUGAUGUCUUCAUACCUCCAGAUAAUUGGAUUCUUAAACUUAACAGCCAGAAAUGGAAAAUCCAUGUUGUUUUAAGGAAAGCAGAGCAACAAGAAAAUCAUGUACAAGAGCCUACGAAACAAAACAGAAAAGUAAAAUUGUGACAGGCAUAUGUGCAAGGGAGGCAACUUAAAUUUUGAUUUUUUGACCAGCUGGCCCAGUAAGUGGCUAAAAAAGAUUGAGAAGUUACAUAUAUAAUCAGUGGAAGGGAGACAACUCAUAUUUUGAUCCCUUGACCAACUAUUCAGACAGAUUUUAUAAUCCAUGUUAUUAUGAAAUGUGAAGAAAGUACAGGUAAGAAUUUAUCACAUUUAAAUAACAGGAGACAUUAAUUGAAUUUAUUAACUGUUGAUAAGAAUUCUUAUCUGUCCAGACAUUAGAAAUAGCAUGUUGUCUGUUUUGAACCCAGUAAACAAUAUUCAAAUAUUUAUCUAAUAGGAUAAUUUGCAGGGCUUUCAGGUUUCAAGUUGUGAUAAUG